rnacentral:rRNA from 1 species
AACGAACGCUGGCGGCAGGCUUAACACAUGCAAGUCGAACGCCCCGCAAGGGGAGUGGCAGACGAGUGAGUAACGCGUGGGAACAUACCCUUUCCUGCGGAAUAGCUCCGGGAAACUGGAAUUAAUACCGCAUACGCCCUACGGGGGAAAGAUUUAUCGGGGAAGGAUUGGCCCGCGUUGGAUUAGCUAGUUGGUGGGGUAAAGGCCUACCAAGGCGACGAUCCAUAGCUGGUCUGAGAGGAUGAUCAGCCACAUUGGGACUGAGACACGGCCCAAACUCCUACGGGAGGCAGCAGUGGGGAAUAUUGGACAAUGGGCGCAAGCCUGAUCCAGCCAUGCCGCGUGAGUGAUGAAGGCCUUAGGGUUGUAAAGCUCUUUCACCGAUGAAGAUAAUGACGGUAGUCGGAGAAGAAGCCCCGGCUAACUUCGUGCCAGCAGCCGCGGUAACAC